GCCCCGGUAGCUCAGUGGUAGAGCUCCUGCAUAUAGCGAGCGUAAACGCCUAGCAACGAGUAGCAGAUCAGGGGUGUGCGAGUUUCGCGUUUCGCCUUUGGCGGAUUUUCGCGUUUUUGGACUUUCGCGUUUCGCGUGUCGCUUUUUUAAAUUUACUUUCACGUUUCGCUUUUUAAAAUCCGUUUCGGCACACCCCUGUAGCAGAUGGUUGCAGGUUCGAAUCCUGCCCGGUGGCU